GGCUCAGAACGAACGCUGGCGGCGUGGCUAAGACAUGCAAGUCGCACGGAUAGGUCUUUUGAGCAAUCAACGGACUUAUCAGUGGCGGAAGGGUGCGUAAUAAAUAGGUAACGUACCUCGAACUUUGGGAUAGCGCCGUUACGGGCAACCGUAACUACCGAAAGGGGCGAUAAUACCGAAUAAUGUCAUCUGCCGAUAGGUGGAUGACCAAAGAUACGUUGGUUCGAGAGCGGCCUAUUUCCUAUCAGCUUGUUGGUGAGGUAAUGGCUCACCAAGGCAAUGACGGGUAGCAGGGCUGAGAGGUCGGCCCGCCUCAUCGGGACUGAGACACUGCCCGGACCUCCACGGAGGGCUGCAGUAACGAAUAUUGGGCAAUGAGCGAAAGCUUGACCCAGCGACGCCGCGUGUGGGAGGAAGUCCUUCGGGAUGUAAACCACUUUUAGGUUUAAGAAAGGUAGCCGCAAGGCUAUUUGAUCUAUGCCAGAAAAAGUCACGGCUAACUCUGUGCCAGCAGCCGCGGUAAGACAGAGGUGGCGAGCGUUGUUCGGUGUCACUGGGCUUAAAGCGUGUGUAGGCGGCCAAGUAUGUCCGUUGUGAAAUACCUCAGCUUAACUGAGGAGCUGCUUCGGAAACUGCUUGGCUUGAGGCAGGUAUGGGUGCGGGGAACUGUUGGUGGAGCGGUGGAAUGCGUAGAUAUCAACAGGAACGCCGGUGGUGAAGACGCUGCACUGGGCCUGAUCUGACGCUGAGACACGAAAGCGUGGGCAUAAAACGGGAUUAGAUACCCCGGUAUUCCACGCCCUAAACGAUGUCUACUAGGCUGGGGAGGUUCUGACGCCGCCCUGGCCGAAGCAAAAGUGUUAAGUAGACCGCC
rnacentral:rRNA from 1 species